rnacentral:rRNA from 1 species
GACGAACCGUCCAAACGUUAUUCGGAAUCACUGGGCUUAAAGGGUGCGUAGGCGGCGCGGAAAGUUGGGUGUGAAAUCCCUCGGCUCAACCGAGGAAUUGCGCCCAAAACUACCGUGCUCGAGGGAGAUAGAGGUGAGCGGAACUUAGGGUGGAGCGGUGAAAUGCGUUGAUAUCCUAAGGAACACCGGUGGCGAAAGCGGCUCACUGGAUCUCUUCUGACGCUGAGGCACGAAAGCUAGGGUAGCAAACGGG